rnacentral:rRNA from 1 species
AGUGAACGCUGGCGGUAGGCCUAACACAUGCAAGUCGAACGGCAGCACAGUAAGAGCUUGCUCUUACGAGUGGCGAGUGGCGGACGGGUGAGGAAUACAUCGGAAUCUACUUUUUCGUGGGGGAUAACGUAGGGAAACUUACGCUAAUACCGCAUACGACCUACGGGUGAAAGCAGGGGAUCUUCGGACCUUGCGCGAUUGAAUGAGCCGAUGUCGGAUUAGCUAGUUGGCGGGGUAAAGGCCCACCAAGGCGACGAUCCGUAGCUGGUCUGAGAGGAUGAUCAGCCACACUGGAACUGAGGCACGGUCCAGACUCCUACGGGAGGCAGCAGUGGGGAAUAUUGGACAAUGGGCGCAAGCCUGAUCCAGCCAUACCGCGUGGGUGAAGAAGGCCUUCGGGUUGUAAAGCCCUUUUGUUGGGAAAGAAAAGCAGCAGGUUAAUACCCCGCUGUUCUGACGGUACCCAAAGAAUAAGCACCGGCUAACUUCGUG